UUUUAUCUCUAUAAAUGCUAAAAUAUUUCAUUAUAAUUAAAUUGAUACAAAUAUUUGAUAAGUGAAAAGUAGAAAAACAUGACUAAAAUUUUCAAAUUUGGUUAUGUUAUGAUUAUCUUUAUUUUUUUUCUUGUAAAUGGCGUAAACACCGGAAAGUGUUUCCGUUGCUAUGAACACUAUGAAUGUACUAAACAUUGUCCAGACUUAAAAGGGUGUUGUUAUGUUAACAGUUGUAGGUGCUUUAGGGAUAUAUAUAAGAAGUGCUAAUUCAAUUAUAAAAGUUUAAUCAUAUAAUUUCAAAACGUUGAAUUUAAAUCUACCCGUAGACAAUUAUGAAUUGAUGACCAUUAGUGUCACUUUCAUAAUAAAAAUUAUAUUAUAUCCUCUAAAAUUUGUAUUUAAAUAAUUAAGGCUUAUAUUCUAUUUAUUACUAUUUUUGUGUGACUUACAUUGAUAAAUUGUCUUUUGAUUUAAA